rnacentral:rRNA from 1 species
GAUGAACGCUAGCGGCAGGCCUAAUACAUGCAAGUCGAGCGCCCUUUCGGGGGAGCGGCGGACGGGUGAGUAACGCGUGGGAAUGUGCCCUUUGGUACGGAACAACACAGGGAAACUUGUGCUAAUACCGUAUGUGCCCUUCGGGGGAAAGAUUUAUCGCCAUUGGAGCAGCCCGCGUUGGAUUAGGUAGUUGGUGGGGUAAAGGCCCACCAAGCCUACGAUCCAUAGCUGGUCUGAGAGGAUGAUCAGCCACACUGGGACUGAGACACGGCCCAGACUCCUACGGGAGGCAGCAGUAGGGAAUCUUGCGCAAUGGGCGAAAGCCUGACGCAGCCAUGCCGCGUGUAUGAUGAAGGUCUUAGGAUUGUAAAAUACUUUCACCGGGGAAGAUAAUGACGGUACCCGGAGAAGAAGCUCCGGCUAACUUCGUGCCAGCAGCCGCGGUAAUAC